rnacentral:rRNA from 1 species
UGAGGAAUAUUGGUCAAUGGGCGAGAGCCUGAACCAGCCAAGUAGCGUGAAGGAUGAAGGCUCUAUGGGUCGUAAACUUCUUUUAUAGGGGAAUAAAGUGAGCCACGCGUGGCUUUUUGUAUGUACCCUAUGAAUAAGGAUCGGCUAACUCCGUGCCAGCAGCCGCGGUAAUACGGAGGAUCCGAGCGUUAUCCGGAUUUAUUGGGUUUAAAGGGAGCGUAGGUGGAAAUCUAAGUCAGUUGUGAAAGUUUGCGGCUCAACCGUAAAAUUGCAGUUGAUACUGGGUUUCUUGAGUACAGUAGAGGUGGGCGGAAUUCGUGGUGUAGCGGUGAAAUGCUUAGAUAUCACGAAGAACUCCAAUUGCGAAGGCAGCUCACUAGACUGGUCACUGACACUGAGGCUCGAAAGUGUGGGUAUCAAACA